UACGGAGGAUGCAAGCGUUAUCCGGAAGAUUGGGCGUAAAGCGUCCGCAGGUGGCUAUGUAAGUCUGCUGUUAAAGAGUGAGGCUCAACCUCAUAAAAGCAGUGGAAACUACAUGGCUAGAGUGCGUUCGGGGCAGAGGGAAUUCCUGGUGUAGCGGUGAAAUGCGUAGAGAUCAGGAAGAACACCGGUGGCGAAAGCGCUCUGCUAGGCCGCAACUGACACUGAGGGACGAAAGCUAGGGGAGCGAACAGG
rnacentral:rRNA from 1 species